CGACGGCGGCGCCGUUUCGUGUGGGGGACUGGGGUGGCUUUUGGGAAUUGUUAGUAUCGGGGUUGUCGAUUAGGUGGGUUGGGGUGAUGGAGAUGAAGUGGUUGUUGUCGUCGAGGAAUUCGGCGGAGAAAGAGAUUCUAGGGCUGGAAAUCUGAUCAAUGGUGGUGGUGGAUCUGGUGGGUGCUUGAACUGUUUCCAUAGAA
rnacentral:lncRNA from 1 species